GCCUGGUAUGUGCCUGUAAUCCCAGCUCCAGAGGAGGCUGAGGCAGGAGGAUCACUUGAACUCUGGAAUUUAAGACCAAUCUGGGCAACAUAGUGAGAUCCUAUCUCAA
rnacentral:sRNA from 1 species